rnacentral:lncRNA from 1 species
UGAUCUCCUUCAUUGUUGGCUUCUUCUCAUCUCUUAUUGCAAUCAAGUAGCUCCUUCCUACCCACCCAAUCCAUCCAGCAAUGUACAAGAAGAGGAUCCCAGGAGUGAUGAACUCACCCCAAUGCCUCUGGUCUCCACUCACUAUCAGGUGUGGCAGUCCAUCCGAUCCACACAAUAGUCCCUGUUUCGCGUAGUUGUCAAAUCUGCAAUGACAAUAGUUGAGUGAAUUUGUGUAAGUGAAAUAAAACUAGUUAUGUGACUUCUCCGUUACAAAAUAAAGUUGAGUGACUUUAUCAAGAUAAUUUCCGUUAGUUGAGUAAUUUCAAAGGAGUUUUGUCCUUCACUGGUGAGGGACAGCGAGACAGUUGUGCUUAUAUACAGAAGCACUUCUUCUAGCUCUUAAAGAAUUGAGAAGAGAGUCUUCCCGGCGCCAUCGUUGUCCCUCAGCUGGCUUGGGCUUGAAUUUGAAUUUAUGAUGUGAUUGACUGAUAUAUUUUUGGAUCAAAUUUAUUUAGUUAAUAUUUAUAUUUCAGUAACAUUUUUGUAAUUAAUUCCCAUGUUAUUGUUUUGUCGUAGCCAUAUUUUUCGUAAACAACCAUUUUCGCAAAGAACCACCAGGAAGAGUUGCAUCUCUUCGUUUGAGACUAGACUUCUGCUUAUAUAUAUCUGUCCUUUAAUUCAGAUUUUUACUUACGAUUUUUUUUUUAAAUAUUUCUCGCAUAUUACUUUCUGCUCUGCGAAGUAAAUUUGAAGUGUGAUUCAACUGUUCUUAAUGUUCGUUGAACACCGGUGUUUGAAGUAUCUUUGCACAAGUGACAGUAAUCUGCCCUAUCUUGGGAGGAAAUAAUCUUAUACCUCAGGUAUUAGGAACACUAUGAAUUUCAGGAGGCUCGAAUUAGUUUCAGCUUUCAUCUCAUGUAUAUUUUGUCAAGUCUUAGUUUCCAGGAUUUAUUUGGUUACUAACAGUAUUUGUGUUACUAAACAAAAUUCGAAUGAUCAUAUGCGAAAUUAACUCUAUGAUAAGGAAUUACAUAGAUGGAUUAAAUAAAAAAUGAUUACUAGGGGAAAAUGGAAGGUGAGACAAACCUGCGCUUAGUUUUCUCAAUAGUAGCAUUAAUAGCAAGUGCAGGAGCACUAUCAGGUGCAUAUAGCUUCAAAGAAUUCUCAAGCUUCUUGAUCUGUUGCUUCUCCCUCUUAGCAAACUGCUUUGACUCCUUGCAAGGUGUGAGUCCAGAGAUGUCAGCAGAAGCUGGAAGCACUGGUGCUGACAACAGAAUUGAAGACAAAGCAAGUGCUGCUGAGAAUACCUUUAAUGAGGAAGAUGUUUCAUCUGUUUUAGUAGAAGCAGGAGUUUGGUUUGAAGAGCAGACUAUUGUUGAAGUUCUUGGUUUUGUGGUAAACUGAGAACUAAACUUAGAUGAUGUUGAAAUGGGUUUUGAAAGGUUUGCAGGAAUUGUGAGAGACAUGGUGUUUUCUCCUCUCUCUUUUUAUGGUAUUAUUUUCAAGAAAAAAAGAGAGGAAGGAGGAGUGGAUUGGAGUGUGGAGAGUGAAAGGAUGUUUUUUUAGGAUAUUUGGAAGAAAGGAUUGGUAUUGAAGAGAGAGGAUAAAGGAGUUGAAGGGGAGCUUAGGUGGAGGGAUUUGAUUGGCUAAUUGAGUUGGAUUUUGUGAGAUUGGUGGAUUUUGCUGAAACUUUAUCUAUCUGUGAAAGAGCAAGAACCAGGGAUGUAACAGAUACAGAUACGCCUCCUUCGGAGCCAUAUUAUCCCUUGGAAUAGCUAGUAAGUUGCUGCCCACGUAAUCAGGAGGUCAUAAGUUCAAGUUUUGAAAACAGUUUCUAAUAAAAAUACAAGGUACGACUGCAUACGAUACACCCUUGUGGUGGGGCCCUUCCCUGGAUACCGCGCAUAGUGGUAAUUUUAGUACACUGGACUGUCCUUUAUUGGCAAAAUGGCUAAAUGGAUCCUUGUACUAUGUUCGUUUUGUAAUGUGAACACUUCUACUUACAUGUUUGUCAUCUGAAUCGUUGAAUUAAUUAAAAAGUAAUAUUUUAAGCCCUUUAUCGGUCUACUCCUUUGAACGUGUUGCACAAUCACGAACAUGUCAUCAAAUAUUUGAAAAUAAUUUUCACAUAUGAAAUAACGUGUCCAAGGUAUAAAUAGAAAAGUAAGUCCGAAAAAUUAAGUCAUUUUAGACCCUUCUUCUUCGUCUCUUUCAUCCAAAGUUUAAAAUUUCCCCUAUUUUAACUUAAUUUAGGUAGAUUGUUGUUGGUGGUUGUUGCAAUCCGUGUAAGUAUUUAAUAUUUUGUGGUAACUGUAGUAUUUCGUAGUUUAUUUCAGGCUCUUUUGUCGAUGUAAUGAAGUCCGUUUUAGUAAUUUUAGGAUUUUCGCCAUUAUGAACUUUUUUUUCAAUUUUUUGGGUGGUUUUGCUCUAUUUUAUAUCUAGUGUUGUUGUAGGUAGUAUGUGUAGUGGUGAUAUGCCUUCAAUGACAUAUUUUGAAAUUUUGAUCAAAAUUUAGAGUUUUUUCGUAAAAUGGUAAUUGGGUUCGAAAAUUUUUGAGCUUUUAAUUUUUUUUUUGUUGUCUAAUGCUCCUAUUAUACCUAUAUAUUACAGUUUUGUGCCUUCAAUGGUGUAUUUUAUUAUUUCGAUUACAUUUUAAAUUUUUUUUGGUAAAUUUAAAAUUAGGUUCGAAAAUUUUGGGGCUUGUGAAUUUUUUGUUGUUUAAUGCUCCAAUUAGAUGUGUGUAUAACAGUUUUGUACCUUCAAUAGCAUGUUUUGUUAUUUCGAUUACAUUUUAAAGUUUUUUUUUUUUGAUAAAAUCAGAAUUGGGUUUCUUAUUCCUUUAUUUUUUCUUUAAAAAUUAGGUCUUUAUGGAUAAUUAACUAAUUAUAUAUAUUAUCUUGUCAUUGUACAGAUUUUCUAAGUAAAUGGACACAAUUGUAACAAUUCAAUUCACCUAUAGGGGGGUCUUUUUGUCAGACCCUGAUCUAAGGUAUGCAAAUGAAGUUUGUAUUCUUGAAAAAAUUAGAGUAGAUGUAGAUGAGCUUCAUAUUAUGUUAUUUCAUAACUUAGCAAUAGAUUUAGAUAUGGAAAAAAAUAAAACUUUUUGAUGUAGAGUAAAUAAAAAGGGUUAUUAUUAUAUGUUAGAUAGUGAUGCUGAUGUUUUAAGAUUUAUCAAUAGUUUAAAAGUUGGAGAUUUUGUUAAUAUAUAUGUUGUUCACCAUAUUAGUGAACUUAUAGUUGUUAAUGAAGAUGUGACAGCUACUCCAUCAUUAUUACUACUUAGCAAUAGUAAUGUGGCAGCCCCUUUUAAAACUGAUAAGGUUGUGUGUCUUCAUCUCAUCCGUUGAAUAUAAAUGAAGAUGAGUAUAUAAAUGAAAAUCAGCCUCCUAAGGCAGACAAAGGAAAAGCUAAGGUUUCUUUAGAAGACUUAGGGGAAAGUCAAGUUAAUGAUUUCUCCACAUACCACCUUCAAACAUCUGAUUCUGAAUUAAAUUUUCAGACCACUGAUUCUGAUGUUGAUUCACUUUAUGAUAUUAAUGAAAAUAUUGAAGAGGAGUGAUUUUGACAAAGAGUUGCUUUAAGUUAGGAAGUCUAACAUUGAAAAACAAGCAAAAGAAAAGGCUGAUAGGGUAAAUCUAGAUGAGAUACCAUCUGAACUAGUAGGUAUAAAUGCUGGUUUUGAGGAAAUUUGUAAGAACAAGGGGGUUAGAUAUGAAAGUAAACUGGGUAGGGAUGACCCUUAUUUUGGUAGUUUAAAUUCGAAUAGUAACAUUAGUGAAGAGGAAGGAGAUCAUGUUGAUGAUGAUGAACUGGUAGAUCCACUACCUAGAACUUCAUCUAGCAAGAUCUACUUUGAUGAAACUGCAAAGAAGAUAUAUUUUUAGUUGUACAUGAUUUUUUGAAUGCUGUUGAAUUUAGAGAGGUACUGCAGACUUUAUUCAAAAAAAUGUGAACCUUAAAUUAAAACCUAAUAAAAAGAAAAGAGUAAAGGCAAAGUGUAAGCAUAAGGAUUGUUCUUGGGUUAUUCUUGAAAGUGUUGAUAACACAAAAAAUUUUAGUGUGAAAACAUACUUUCUUAUCCACAAAUGUUCUAAAAAGACAAAAAAUGAGAUGUGAGUGAUUCAUCAAUAAAAUUGCAUCAGAUUCAAACACUUUUAAGAAAGGACUAUGGAUUGUAUGUUAGUAAAACAACCCGUAGAAAAUCAAAAAUUAAAAUUAUGAAUGAAUAUUUUGAUGAUUUUGUUGAAGAGUUUGCUAGGUUGUAUGACUAUGCUGAAUAGUUAGGAUCACCAAUCCUGAUACCACUGUAUCUACUAGAACAUCCAAGAAUUCAAUUCCAAGGUGGUUAUAGGCAUUUAUAUUUGUCUUGGGGCCUUAAAAAGUGGAUGAAAAGAGGGUUCUAGAAGAAUAAUUGAUUUAGAUGGUGCCUUUCUCGAGGGUGUAUAUAAAGGUAUCUUGUUGUCUUGUAUUUUCAAAGAUAAAAAUAAUCACAUGCAUCCUGUAGCAUGGGCAGUGGUUGAUAAAGAAACCAAGGACAUAUGGUCUUGAUUUCUUAGGUACAUCAACCAUAAUUUGAAACUUCGAGAAAAUGGGGGUAAAGGCUUGACAUUAAUAUCUGAUAUGCAGAAGGUAUGAAGUGUCAUAUUUUUUUUAGUUAUUUUUUCAAUUUGCUUAGUGAUGUCAUGAAUGUUUAACUACUGUUUUACAUGUUUUGAUAGGGUCUUCAUUUGGCACUUACUAAGCUACUGUCAAAUGCUGAGCAUAGAUGUGCUAGACAUAUAUGGGCAGACUGAAAGCAGGUUUGGAGAGGUGAAAAAAGAAGGAAAAAAUUCUAGCAGGUUGCAAGGGCUCGAUUUAAAGUGUAUUUACAACAAAAAACUUAAUAAAAUGAGUGAGUUAGAUGUUGAAAUUGUGAAAUACUUGCUCAAAUACAACAAAGAGGCAUGGUGUAGGAUUUUUUUUUAAAGAAUAUAGCAGGUGUGAUGUGGUUGAGAACAACAUGUAUGAAACUUUCAAUAGUUAAAUUUUAGCUGCUAGGUUCAAAACAAUUAUCACUAUGUUGGAGAAAAUAAAAUGCAAAGUCAUGGAAAGAAUGAAUCAAAUGAGAAAUUUUUAGAAAAAUGAAUCAGUGAUGUAUCACCAAUGGAUAUGAAAGUUCUUGUAGAGAAUAAUAUGCAAUCAAGUGUGAGGUAAGGUUUAAUGGUGAUAUAGGCUUUGAGAUUGGUGAUCCACCAUAAACACAUGUUGUUAAUGUGAAGAGGAAGGAAUGUAGUUGUAGGUCAUGGCAACUAAAGAAAAUUCCUUGUGCACAUGCAAUUGUUUCAAUGCAUUACAAGGGAUAGAAUGUGGAGUCAUUUGAUAAGCACUGGUAUCAAUGAAAAACAUACUUGAAGGCAUAUGAUAAGUAUAUUCAACCAAUGACAAAUAUAAAGAUGUAGCUAAGAAGCACAAGACCACUAAUUGAGUCACCUGAGAUUACUGCCAUGCCACGAAGGUCAAGUAAAAAUAGAAAGAAAGCUAAGGAUGAGUCUAUUAAGAAAAAGUUUAGGAAGGCUACAAAAAAAGAAAGAAAAAUGACAUGUUUUGUGUGCAAGUCUAUUGGAGACAACAAGAAAGGAUGUCCAAUUUUGGUAACCUAAAACUUUUCUUAUUGAUGAAUUUUACUCUUUUUGAAUGUGUUUUUGAUCUUUAAAUAUUUUUUUGUAGAAAAAAGAUUUCAGUAGUAGCUGUGGCAGUCAACCAAGUGUGCAAGCUGGUGCUAGUACUGUUGCUGCUGAGAGACCUGCAAAUGCUUCAGCAGCUGAAGACAUGCCUGCAAAUGCUAAACCAAGAAACAGAAGGCCUGCAGGAAGGCCAACAAAUGCUCACCGUGUACCAAGAGCUGCAGAAAGGCCUGCAAAUGUUGCAUCAGUUGGUGGUGUGAGGCCUGCAAGUGCCUUAACAACUGAUAUAAGGCCUGCAACUGUUGUGAUUCCUGCAACCACUUCACCAGUAGAUGAUAAUACUACACAAUCUACAACUCAGUAGUCUACUAGUGGUGUUGGUGUCCAAAAGAGGAGGACUAGUACAACUUUGAGAGGUGGUGCAAAUCUUGCAUAUAAAAGAUCAAGGCAAAACAAAAUUAAUUUUGUUGUGCUGUUUGGACUAAGUGGCAACGUAGUGGAGAGGGUAAAUUUUCUAUCAUGUAAUUUUCAUUUAACUGGUAUUAAUUAGUGUAUCUAUAACUGAUUUUUUUUAUUUUUACAGUUUGAAAAUACUGAUAGAGUGUUACAUAAUCCAACACUUAUUAGUUCAGUUCCAAUCAAUAUUGACUUGGGUUUCAAACCAAAUAGACUGAGGCGGAAAGGUGGAGCUGCAGUAACUCAAAGACAACUACAAGAACAGAGUUACAACAGAUAAAACACAAAAUCAUCUACAACCACUCAAGCCACAUCAAGCACUCAAGCCAGCAAGAAUCAGGCCACAACAAGCACUCAAGGAACACAUUAGUGUAAUUCUCUUUUUGUAUUGAUCCCAAGUGUUGUUAAGAUAAUUUUUUAAGACUUCUGAUGCAUUUCUCAUUAAAGAUGUUGUUAAGACAAGUUUUUUCAUUUCAACUCUUGCUAACACAUUAUAUAUUGAAGAUUUCUAAGUUGGCAAAAUGGUGUUUGUCAUUAAAUUUGAAUUUCAUUUUCAUUGUACAUUGCAACUACAAAAAUUAAGUCAUCUUAAAUAUAAUAGAUAGAAAUCAGAUGACAACAAUAAUAAUAGUGAUAUCAAUGCUAGUGCUUGAUCUUUCAUGUCUUUCAUACCUUUCAUAUCUUUCCAGUCCUUCUUGUCUUCGUUGCCUUCUAUGUCUGCCUUUAUAUUAUUUAUUUUCAUCAGCACAUCAAAAGAAUCCACAAUCAUUAGCAACUUCAUAUUUUUGACAGCUCCAAAAUAUUUUUUCGGGGUUGAUUGGUAUUCUUGAAUCUUAAUUUCAGCGUAAAGCCCACAAUAACAUACCCGAACUGUCAUGGUGUUGUGAAAAAUUACAUAAGAUAUUAACAUUCCAAUAUUACAAACAGAACAGGAAAAAAAAUUAAGAAACAAGAACUUAGAGAGAGAAAAAUGGAGAAGAAGGGAGAAAAAAAAGCUCAAAUUGCUUCAAUAAUGAUGUUGGAAGCAUAUGAGGAAGAAGUAGCAUUUAUAAGGACUUUAUGACUGUUGGGGGACUUUUUUCGAUGGCUUACGUGCGCUUGAAGGCUAAACUAUUUGCUCCUAUGUGAUUCCAGCCACAUUGGAUGCCACAUCAAAAAAAAGUAUUUAAAAUGUUCAUUUUUAGUGGGUUCAAGGAUUCAGAUGAUAAACAUGUAAGUAGAAGUGUCUACAUUACAAAACAGACAUAGUACAAGGGUCCAUUGAAUUAUUUUGCCUUUUAUAUUUCAAUCUUUCUUUCUCACUUAUAUUUUUAGCUCUUAUCUUAAGGGGUGUUUAGCCAUAAAAGUUUUAAUAUUUUUAGAAAGAUCAUGUAAGAGUAAAAAAUAAUAUUUAAAAAUUAAAAUUGUGUUUUGAUCAUAAAUAUAAAUUGGAGGCGUUUUUGAAUUACUUUUCAAAUUUCAAUUUUUUGAAAAGUAUUAUCACAAGAUCAUAUACAAAAAAAUUGAUUUUCACUAAGAGAGUUAAAAAAAUUGUAUUGCUUGAGAUUUGAAUUUAGAAUUUAAAGUGAAUUUUGAAUUUUCUAAACUAUUGAUCCUACUCUAAUUUAUUGUUUAGGGUAUUGAAAAAAAAAAACUAUAUAGCUAGACAUUAAUUCUGCUAAUAUAUGCAGUAACGAGAUGAGCCUCGCCAUAGUACCAAAUUUAUAUGAAUUUAUUUAUGAUUAAUUAGGAGUUGUUAGAUUAAAAAAGUGAACAAAAAUGAAAGAGUUGAAAAAAAAAAGAGAAAUAUGAAAAAAAGAGUGGCUAGCCAAGAUUUUGUAGUUAUAUAGUUUUCUUUAAACAGUCUAUAGCAUCAAUGAUUUAGGAAAUUUAAAAUUCACUUUAAAGUUCUAUAUUUAAUCUCAAGUAUUUUUUUUUUUUUGAUUAUGAGUAGCAUCAAUGAUUUAGGAAAUUUAAAAUUCACUUUAAAGUUCUAUAUUUAAUCUCAAGUAUAUUUUUUUUUUGAACUCUUUUAGGAGUCGUUUGGUACACUGAAUGUGAUAAAUAAGAAUAUCUAAGGUGGGAUAUUUCAUAAGAUUAUUUUAUUCAUCUCUCUCCGUGGGACAGUAAUCUCAUUAUCUUAAUAUAAAUGGUGGAAUAAAAUAAUUUUGAAAUUAAGUAAUACCUUAUAUCAAAUAUGGGAUAAAGUUAAUUCUAAAUUUUAUCCCAAAAUUAUUUUUUAUCCCUUCUACCAAACGAUUCCUUAGUGAAAAUCCACAAUCUUUUCAUAUCUGGGUUUGUGAAAAUAUUUCAGAUAAAUUAAAAUUUAAAAAAUAGCAAAAAUUAUUUCUAAUCUAAGUUAUUCCUAAAAACUCAAAAACACUUGCAAUUCGUAUUUAUGAUCAGACAUAACUUUAAUUUUUAAAUAAUAUUUUUUACUUUUAAAUAAUUUUUAAAAAAUAUUUACACUUUUCAUGACUAAACACUCCUUAAAAUAAAAACUAAAAUUUGAGUGGGGAAGAUAGAAAUAUAAAAUAAGGAGGCAAUAUUCAAAAAAAAAAAAAACAGGAAACAGAAGGAAAUGUGAGGAAAUAUUGGGAGAGGAACAUUUGCUAAUACAAUGGACCCCACAAGAACAUAUGUCAAAAGCAAAAAGACCCUUACAUAACUAUUGUUGGGUGAGCCUCACCCAUUUUAUAAUUUUCCAUCACCGAAACUACAGAUCAUAUGCUACUGUCAUUUGCACUUUUUCCCUUGAAAUAAAUAAUAUUUUAUAAGUUUAUAAUCAUUUUAUAAUAAUAUUUCAUGAGUUAUGGUCCUCUCCUAUAAGGUAGUUGUCCCAGUAGAUAUAAUUUCAAUUGCGAAAACUCAAAAUUCGAUGGGCGAAUUGCAAUUAAAUGACCUAAUUUGUCAUGUCAUUUGAGGACAAAAUGUUUGCAUGGAUUGUUCUUGUUUUAAAGUGGUUUUCAAUUUUUGCAAUCAAAAUAAUAUAGUUGAAUUUGUUUAAGUGUUUUAAGGGCACGCGAGUUAGAUUGAUUAUAAAAAUGAAAUAACAAUGAAAUGAAUCACAGCAACAAGAUGUAAUGAAUACAAAGCAAGAAAAUAAUUAAAUUAGAUCCUAAAAUUGGGCCUAGGUGGCUUUGGUAUUCUCUGUCCGAAAGCUGAUGAAUUGAGAAACUGAGAGCCUUUUCUUAAGAAGAGAAAGUAUGUAUGAACAAGUGUGUCUUGUAAAAACUUUCAGAGCCUCGAAUGUUUGAUUCCUAAGUGUGUCACUGUCUUCCAGUUGAGCAGUAGCACUUUGGUUGUCGGGUUGGAAAGAUUAUCUUAUCAUCAUUACUAGUUACUGUUUCUGUAUCAAGAUUCUACCUUUCUGAAGUUAGACAGGCCAUGUUAGUAAGGCCGGUACCAAUGUCGAGUAUUAUAGGAUCCCUCCAAAAUUGGACAUCACUCCGAGCUCGGUCUUUUGGAAGGGUUCUUCUGGUGCUCCCCAAUAGUCCCUUCAUAGUCAGACGCAUGUAUCACAUCUUUCAUGUCUUUUUUUUUUGCAACAAAUGUGAAUAUUAACAUCAACAAAACAGUCAUAUAAAAAUAAUUUUUUUUUAAUUUGAGUCUCAUAUGUCAUGUAAUAGUUGUAUGAGGUCUUUAAUAUUUGACGAAAUACAUAUACAGGCCCUUGAAAUAUUUCACUUUUCCCGUUUAGACACCUAAAUUAAGAAAGGUACCUAUUGAACCCUUUACUCCUUCAGAAAUGGUUUCAAUUGAGCCCAAUUCUCCGAUGUGGCAGUUUGCGUGUACUCACAUCUGGGAGGCGCGUGAAAUGUCAUGGAACCAGCUUAUGUGGCACCCAACGGAUCUUUUAUCCUCUUUUUAUACCCAAUUUCUUAAAAAAAAAAAACCCUAAUUCCCACUUUCUUCCUCUUUUUAUACUCAAUUCUUAAUAUCCACCAUUUUUGUCUCCUAAAUUCUCCUUCUCCUCUUAAAUUUCUUUUCAGCCUUUUCUCUUGCUUCGCUUAAACUCUCCUACUCUUAUUAAUUUCUUCUUCUUACUCGUUUUUAGUAGUAAUAUCCAAUUCAUCUUUUUCAUUGUCUUCAUCUUCUUUAAUUCCAAAAGGAGUAUGUUUAUGUGGGGUGAAAGCUGAAAUUAAGACCUCGUGGACACAACUCAACACUAGUGGGAGAUUCUUUUACUGCAAAACUUCAAAGGUAUUCAUCUUUUGCUGCUUCAUUGGACGAAAUGCAAUUACUUCGAUUAGUGGAUGCAAUUUUUUAAUUUAAUUUUUUCUUUAAACCUGUAGGCGAGAGGUGGAUGCAAUUACUUUGAUUGGUAUGAUGAUGAAAUGCCCCCUCAAGCAAAGAGGGUGAUGUGGGGUUUAUUAAAAAAAUUCAAAUCAUUUGAAGAAGAGAGGAAUCGAUCAAGAAAAUUUAAAGUGAUAUGCGUUGGGGCGAUUGUGAUUUUGGCUACAUGGAAUUUCUUCAAGAAAUGUUCUUAGAUUUUGACAAAUAUUGGCUUAGGUUUCUUAUAUAUAGGACUGUUUUGAUUUGGAUAAUUCUGAAAUAUAUUAGUUGUAUUGGGACUGUUUUGCUUUGGCUUUCUUGUUGUAGUGGGAUUGUUGUGUAUGAAACAAUUAAGAAGGAAUGAAGAUAAGUUGUGAAAUGUUACUCUCUUACUAUGUUUUGAUUUUUCUUUACUUUUGUAAUUGGUUUAGUUAGAUUAUUGUACUCUAUUUUUUUAGAGUUCAAAUAAUUCAUUUAAAUGAUUCAAAGCUGUCAAAUGUUUAACACAAAAGGAACUACCAUUCAAUAAUUAUAUAAAGCACAAGUGCAACUGAUCGACAUUUUAAACACAAUAAUCUACCAUUCAACUGCUCAAAAUGAGCUCCAACCAUACAUCAAGUGUUCAUCCAAAACUAAUCUAAACAAACCACAAAAAAUAGUUCAGAAUCUUUAAAAAUCCCAACAAAAUACCAAAGUAGCCAUACAACUAAUAACCAAACUAUACAUUGUGCUAAAAACACAAUUAAUUCAACAACUUCAGAUUCCUCCUGGUGCACUAGAACUUUCAAGUUGGCUUCUUUUUUUACUGACUCAUACUCUGCAAUUGAGAAGUUGUGACGACAUUCUUUUCCUUCCACUUCAUUCCUCGAGGCUUAUAACCAAUAUCAAUAUUUGUUUGAGUUACAUCUUUGUAAACACCCAGAGUGACAACUGUUUCACUUCUAGUUCCAGGUUGUAUAAAAUGAAGUAAAAUUAGAUUUGUCAAAAGAUAAUUAAAAAUUACAUGAAUUGAAGUUGUAAUUCACACUUACAUUUAAUGUUUUACUGCAACUCAUUUGAUCAGUGUAGAUACCAAAUCCUACUGUCUUAGACCUCUUUUGUCCUACUGAUGAUGUUGAUGCUCCAAUGGUCAUUUUUUCCUUAAGUUGCUGAUCAGAUACACUUUCUUUUCCUCUACUUCUGCCAGUGCCUCUUCCAGAUCCUUUGCCUUUGCCAGCUCUCCUACCUUUGUCAGUAUCUCUACCUCUACCUCUACCUCUACCUCUUCCAGCUGGCUGCACUCUUAUAACUGCUGAGGUAUCAACACACAUAGAACUGCUGAAGCUUGGUUGCUGGCUGAAGCUUGGUGGCCUGCUAGAGCUUGGUGGCCUGCUAGAUCUUGGUGGCUAGAUGAAGCUUGGUGGUUAGCUAAAGAUUGGUGGCCUGCUAAAGCUUGGUGUCUUGCUAGAGCUUGGUGGCUGUCUGAAGCUUGGUGGCUGCUAGAGCUUGGUGGCAUGCUAGAGCUUGGUGGUUGGGUAGAGCUUGGUGGCCUGCUAGAGCUUGGUGUCCUACUAGAUCUUGGUGGUUGACUGAAGCUUGGUGGCCUGCUAGAGCUUAGUGGCUGGCUAAAGCUUGGUGGCCUGCUAGAACUUGCUGCGUGGCUAGAGCUUCCAGGUUGUCCCAUUCCAUCUUAACAAUAAAGGAUAUUAAAUAUAUAUUAUAAAUAUCAGAAUUUAAUUAUUGAAUUAAAAGAUAUGAGUGCAUUACCUGAGCUUUACAGAGAGUUCUGCUAUGACCAAUUUGAUGACAUUUGGAGCAAGAAAUUUUCAGUCCUUUCCAGGAUAGCUUCCCAUAUUUCUUCUUAGGCUCAUUCUUCCUUUUUUUCUAUUCUUUCCUGGUCUGCUAGGCAUUCGUCUAGGCUCAUGAGGAUCAAUCACUACACCACUUGUGUUAGGCUACAUUUCCAUAUUAGAUAUUGGCUGAAGAAAGUAGUCAUAAGCCUUCAAGAAUGUAUCUUUCUUAUACCACUCUUCCACAUAAAAUUCAGGCUCUAUACCUUUAUGCUGAUAAGCCAAUACAGCAUGUUGACAUAGUAUGCCUCUCAAUUUCCAGCUUCUGCAAGUGCAAGUCCUUGUCCUAAUAUUAACUAUAUGCCUAUAAGGACCAUCUAAAAUUCCAUACCCAAUCUGUCCAUUGAACCUCACUGUGCAAUUUCUAGCCAUAUCUUUAUUUUCUUCAAGUACUAGCAAAGCCAUAAGAGAGAUGUCUGAAAUGCAGGUAUUAACAAACUUCCUCAUUUCAACAUUUCUAUCCAUUAUCUUAUGUCUAAUCUCCUCUAACAUACAGAUUAUAGAUUUAUGUCUAACAGCUAAAAUUCAUGAAUUAAAAGUCUCACACAUAUUAUUCUCAACAAUGUCACAUUUAGAAUACUCCCUAAAAUAUGCCCUGCACCAUGAUUUUUUUCAUAAUGUAAUAAGUCCUCACAAAUAUCCUUACCAAGUUGACUGAGUUUGCCCAUCUCAUCCAAAAACUUCACUUCAAAACUGGAUUUAGCACACCUCUAAAAUUAUUUUCUUCUUUCUUCUCCUCUCCAGAUCUGAUGUCAAUUGGACCAGAUGUAUCUUGCACACCACCUCAUUUCACAAUCUGGUAACAACUCAAGUAUAGUAGGUACAAGACCUUACAUCAGUAUAAAUACAAAAUAAAAACACAAAAUAUAUGAACAUGGAAUGUAUAGUAAAUAAAUAGAAGACAUCAAAAUUAAAUUUUAAAAAGUAGACUAACCUUUUGCAUAUCUGACAUGACAGACAGAUCAUGUUCAAUGCCUAAGUUCAAAUCUUGAAUCAAGUGGUUAAUGAAGAAACUCCAGCUAUUUUGUCUUUUGAUCAACCACUGCUCAGGCUAUUGGAUACAUUUGAUUAUUUCCAUUUCUCCCAACUGCAACUAACAAUUCACCCUUGCAAGAACCUUUCAAAAAACAACCAUCUAACCCAAUAAUUUUUCUGCACCCUGCCAGCCAGCCUCUCUUUAAUGCAUCAAAGCACAAAUAAAAAUAAAUAAAUAGAUUUUUUCCAAGUUGAGACUCUCUAUCUAUCCUCACCCAACAAGAACUGUCAGGAUUAAUAUGUUUUAUCAUGUCUGCAUAGUCACACAACCUUGAAAAUUCCAUCUUCCAAUCACCCAAGAAUUCUUUAAUGAUUCUAUGCUUUGCCUUGCUACAAAUAGUUUUUUCCACAUACAAACCCAAUUUUUUUCUCACCAAUUCCUGAAUUUCCCACAGUUUUAUAUAAGGUUGUAAAGUUAUUUCAUCUUUGAACUUACUUACAAUAAAUUUAGAUGUGCACAAUUUAUUUUUAUAGUAGUAGUGCAUACAUGUACAGGAUAGUAGUGCUUGACAACAGAGUCACCAGAAUGCUUAUCAAUACUAGCAAACAACAACCAUUUACAUUUCUUGCCCUUACACCUAACUCUAACUCUAUGUUUCUCAUUAGGCUUAAGCUUCAAUCUAACUUUGUAUUCAACAGCAUACUCAACCACAACCUUUCUAAAUUGCUUAGCAUUUUCAAAUAUCAUACCAAGCUCAAAUAUAGCCACAACACAAUCAGAAUCAAAUCUUACUUUUUUUACUUUUCCUUUUUGCUGAUAAAUCAACACCCCUGACAGUUUCAGGUUCCAGUCCAUCAGCACUAUCAUCACUAUCAACUUCAAAGCUAUCUAUAUACUUAUCAUCUCCCCCUAAUCUUCUACUGUAUCUAGCAGUCUUAUUCCUUCCAAUAUCUUCAAAUCCCCUAUCAACACCUGCUGAUCCAAGUUUUAUUUUUUCAUUUUGGACAGAUUUCUUUUGUUUCACACAGUUUCUCCUUUCAUUUCUAAGAGUUCUUAACUCUUCAUCAUCCUCAGAAUCGUCAUCUUCUGGUAUAUUAAACUCUUGAGAAUCAACACUACUAUCAAGAUCUAUUUCAGCCCCUUCUAGAUCUGAGAGUUCAUCUGCACCAGAUUCUAUAUCUAUGUUGUCAGUUUGGGUAGGUUCCUCAUGUAACCCUUCAACAUUAAUAUCAUGAACUGUUGAUAUGUUCUUACCCACAUUACUAUUUUCACCAACCACAUUACUACUUUGAUCACCUACUGUACCACAAAGAAAACCAGAUGGGACCUCAUCUUCUACCACUUCUACCUCAUCCACAACAUGGUUCAUAUACAAGUCUAAAAAGUCCCCAUCUUCUAGGUCUUCAACAAGACUUACCAAAGUCAAGUCAUUUUCUACUUCAAUAAAGACUUUCUUUUUAGGGUCUUUAAAGUAGAACCCACCAACAGUCAUAUACCCAAAUUCUUUAGUAUAAUAAAACAACUUGAAUAUAGAAAAGUGGUCUUUGUUCGUACUUACAUAUUCCACCUCACUUUCUCCUAUGUAGUGUGGACCAUAUUCUUCAUCAGAAACAAACUUGCCACCAUGGUGAAAAUGAGUUGUAAUAAUAAUAUUAGCCAUUAGAUUCCUGAAACAAAAUUCCAAAAAUACCUGACAAGUUAUGAAUAGUAAAAACCCUAAAAAAAUCCUAGCUUUUUUCGGAUAUUCCCAAACUACAAUUACUAACGUAAUAUACUAACAAAGAACUAAUAAAUCAUUUACAACAACAAGACAUGACAAAAAUGUGACAAUAUUGACAUUUGCAACAUACCUGAGUGCGAUUCAAACACAAAACAAUAACAAUUUUUUAGAUCCAACUCCAGAUUCUUUGCAACCAAUAAAGAAAUGUUGAAAUCAGUGUCAAACUUGAACUAAUCACUCAAAAACACUAUGUAACUUUUUAUUAUACAACAAACGAAGCAUAAAUUAGUAGUAUUAGGAGUGAAAUCGCAAUUUUAGGGUUUCUGAUAGAUUUAGGGAUGUGUAUGAGGGAUUUGACGUUAUAAGGAGGGAAACGAAGUAGAAAUUAUCUUUAUGUAUUAAUUAAAAAAAAGGUGGGGUGUAAAAUAUAAUUGGUUAUAAUUGGUCAAAAUCUACACGUAGACGAUGACUACAUACACGCACUUAACACGUUAAAAAAGAAGGCUUUAAAAAGGUGUCAUGUCGGACAAUUGAGCUCAGUUGAAACCAUUUAUGAAGGGGUAAAGGGUUCAAUAGGUAUCCGUCUUAGUUGAGGUGUCUAUACGGAAAAAGUGAAAUAGUUAAGGAAUCUCUCUAUAUAUAUAGCCUUAAUAUUUUGACAAAUUAACCUUUUGGGUCCCACCUUUCGGAGAAUUCUUUCUUAUUUUUUCCUCUUCAUUUUCUUUUCUGUCUCAUUGUCAUUUAACUUUUUUUUCUUCAACAAAUAAUGUUUUGUGCUUUUGCUCUUUCUUUUUGGGUUAUUUUUUACUUAUGGUUUUCUUUAUUUUUCUUCAUUUACCCUAUUUCUUUCCAAUUUUUUUUAGUACUCUUGAUACAAGUAAAUUGAAGGUUUUUCUUUUUCCUUUAAUUUUUUAUUUGUCAAUAUUUAUAUGCAAAUUAAAUGAUACUUACUUUUUUAUUUAUUUUUUUAGUUUAUUUUAAAAAUAUUAUUUCUUUGAUUUUUAGAUAGUAAGGUAAUAUUGUUUCCAUUAGUUAGUGUCUAGUUAGAUUUUGUAAUUAUUUUAAUCCGAAAUAUAAUUUUUGAUAUAUAUUUAAUGAUGUGACAGUUCCUAAAUUUCCAAGAAAAGUUAUUUUAAAAAUUAAAAUCAAUAGUUAGAUUUAUUUAGGACCAACUCAUUCUAAAUUCAAUUCAAUUCUUGAAAGACCGCCUGGAAAUAAUUUUUCUAUAUAGAAAAUUAUCUUAAUGAUUAAAAAAAAAGAUGAUUGCUCUUCCAUUUUUAACAUGCUAAGUAUUAUACAUGUCCUAAUAACAUUGAACCAUGAUAAAUAAUAUUAUAUAAAUUCAAUUAUAAAAAACAGAUUUAUCACUUAUCAAAUUUAAUUUUAAAUUUUCGAUAUUCAAAUUUUUCAACACCAACAAAAAGAGAGUAUAAUAAAAAAUAGAAAUUAUUGUCAUGAUUGAAUGGCCAAAAUUUUAUUUUCUUUUUUUUAACAAAUAUGAACAAAUAAUAGUUGGGAUGAAAAAAAAGAUUCAUUCUACUUAGUACCGAAACAGGAGGAAGAAAAAUCAAUUUGUGAAAAAAGACAAAGAAAGAAUAAAAAACAGUAAACAAAAAAGUAACCAAAAAAAAAGAGCAAAUAAUGUUUUGCCCCAAAAAAGUUAAUGAUCGAAAAAGUAAAAUAAAUAAAUGAAUAUAGAAAAUGAUCUGAUAGUGGGACCCCAAAGUCCAUUUGUCAAAAAAUUAAAGACCUCAUAUUAAAAUUUUACAUAUACAAACUAAAAGCAUCUCGUCUCAUCUCCCACUUCUAGAAGGUUGUACUACUAAUUAGGCCUCCAGGAAACAGAGAAGUGUGGUACAAAAAUUAAUUCGUCUGUCUGCUCUCUUUCUAUCCCUAUAAAAUUCAAUUCUCUCAAUAAUUUCGCAUGUGAUUUGCCCCACUGUGUCUGUACAUAGUAUGUCCUCCUACUUUGCAUCCUUGGAUGAAUACUGGACCUUUAAAUUGAAUCCAGUUCCUUGCUUUCCAGAUGUAAUACACCAUAGUCCCCCAUAAUGCAGCUGCCGCUUCCUUCUUAAACUUCUUCCAAUGCUCUCUUCUAAUCAGCUCAAAUGUAGUCUUCACAUCUCCUGCGGACAGUGAAAUAUUGGAUUAUUAUAUGAGUUCAGCUCUUACCAGUGCAGCAUAUAUAGCCACAGUCAACAAAUAUGUGGCUACUACGCUCUCCAUUGUAGAUGAUUGAAAUAGGCGGCAGUUGACAUUUUCUAUGUACAUGUUCAUAUGUAGUAAUCUUUCCUUCGUAAGCAAUCUGUUCAGCAAGGUAACCACUAGUAAUUGAAUACUUUAGCAGUAAGGAUGAAUUGCCCCCAUGCAUCAGUGUUUCAUUCUAUCCCUUAUAAAAUUUAUUUUCCUCCAACACCAGCUACUUGUUAUUUUCGUUUGUACUUUGGGUACACAGAAUCAGUAUAUGCAGAACAAUAACUUCAACUAGAGUUCAAGUAUAAACAAGAACACAAUGAAGUAUAUCAAAUACUCUCUAACACAAGAUCGAAAUGACCUUUUCAAGAGGUGUAUUUUAUUUUUUCAGAAAUUAAGAUGAAACAGAAAAUAGCCAAGUCAUCCGAAUUCACGAAGUUUCUUUAAGGAAAUAAUUUCCCUCACUGUACCCGAGGUUAUAGAAUUUUUCCUCCUAGAAUAAAAUGGCUAAAUAGAUCAAUUGUAGCGGUACCUCAAACGGUUGGAAUAUCUUCGAACGCACAGGACGUUUUGAUUGAUCACAUAGAGUAAUUUGGAAGACAAGAAGUAAUUUUGUAUUCUGAAAUUUUCAUAUCAAAACCUGUGGAUGAAAGCAGGUUUAUAUAGCCAUAACAUGUCUCUUCUGAAAAUAGGCAAUGGUUCACUCCAAAGGUUACACCUUUGCUGUAAGUUCAUGUCUGUUCAUCAAAGAUUGCAUCUUUUCCUGAAUAGUCAUCUCAUUUCAUGAAUCAGUGUGUCACUUCAUUGAAGGAUUACAUCCUUCUGAAGCAUCAUUUCGAACCAUUGCAACUCAGUUUAAAACAAUAUAUCAUUUCUGAAGCACCAGUUCAAAAACAAUGCAUCAGUUCACUUGAAACAGUGCAACUGUUACUGCAUCUAUAUAUAAAUGGAGAUCCUAAACACUGCAGAAAAAUUUUACUGCGUUUUUCCUUGGCAUUCUUCGGAAUUCAAAUAAAGUUUGUCCAAAAAAAUAGAUCUCAUCGAUCAAUCAUUAUCCAAAUCCAAAGCCAAGCGAGCAACGAUGAAAAUGGCGCAAGACAUCUAUUAUUUCUUGCCUCACUUGCCAUGUGGAAUAAAUGUUCUUGAUUAUAAAUACUUUCAAGUACUCUUCUUCCACCAAUGUGGGAGAAAGAGUAAAUUAUCUAAUUUGGAAGUACACUUUUCAUUUUAGUGUCUCCUUCCCCUCCAUCAUUUUACUCUCCAUUUUUUCAUUCACACUUCUUUCAUAUACUAUGAACCCAACACUACUAUCUGCUGGCUUCUGUGUCCAGAUAGUGUCAGUUUUGAUACAUAUUUCGGGUGCCUACUUCAGCCCCAAAGACUCCUUCUUUACAACUACUUUCCACAAAACCUUGCCUACCGAUGCCAAGUUCCAAUUCUCACACAAUAUUCAAACCACCCUGCUUUUUGGAGACACUUUAUCCCAAGCUACUAGUGCUACCUUCCUUUUCCCUCUAUAAUACCCCACAAGUAAUCUCUAAAUGUCUUAUCUACCUCCUUCACUAUACUAGGGGGAAGGAGAAAAACUGCAUUUUAUUCAUCCAUCUGUCAAGACCGGUUUUACCCCAUACUACCAAAGCGGCCAGCAAAAUUUUGACCAUACUGCUUUGAGCAAAUCUUCCUGAGCAAAAUAAAUGGUCUGAAAUUUCCACUUUCUUAGAGUGGGGCAAGCAAUACAAGAAUCUUGAUUGGAAGAUUAUAUCAAAAUUUUGAGACCUUUUCAUCAGUUGGUACCCUGUCGUAUGAAGCUCCCCACCUUACAAAUGUCAUCUUGAAAAAUAUUAUUGUUUAUGCCACAUUUUUUGGGCACUUACUUGAUUGUUCUUUCUUCUAAAUUAGGAGCUCCCAUGCUGAGGCUAGUGAGAACCUGCCAUUGAUGUUAGCCAACCCUAGUACUCUAUCUGGAGCUGCAUGGAAUAAGGUAAUGUGGUGUUGUGCUACCAUGCCAUAUUGCCAAGUGACAUUGUCAAGUGCCUCCUUAAGAAGGGAUAUUUCCGGCUUUUGCUCCAUCAGGUAAAUGACUAUAGAGCAUUCCCGUUUUUGUUCAGUUGUCAUACCAGAAUGAUGUUUUUACCUUUCCAGGCAGGCAUGCUAUAUUUUCCUUAACUUCAUGCUUUAAGUCACAGAGGGCUCUCCAGCCGUGUGACUGUUGCCCUGAUAAUUUUCAUGGAUCGUACAUGUGAAAUAUUUGGUUUGGGUGGAAAUGAAUUGACUCUCAUCUAAGAGAAAACACACUGCUAGUUAAUUAUAUUAUGUCGCAGCAUUAAUGGAGACACUCUUUAGAUGCCCGGUCCCCUUGCCAGCCACUAGAACUUGGGAGGGCAAUUUCUGUUGAUCCUUGACAAGCCAAAACAAUUUCCAAAUUAAUCAUUUAAAAAAAAAAAACAUUACAGAGCCAAGAAGCCAUCAUCUAACACAAGAUCUAGCAACACUUAGUAUAGAAAAUUCACAAUCUUUCAUUGAUAUAAACAAUUGAAAGAGCAAUUACACGAGAACAUCAAAUUAGACAUUAGAGUCAAUGAGUUCUCCAUUCACUAACUCUCUGUAAGCAGCAACAGGCCAGAUGAAGCCUCUCCAGACGAGCCUGUUAGCCAAUGGAACAUCAAUGAUGAUCUCCUUCAUUGUUGGCUUCUUCUCAUCUCUUAUUGCAAUCAAGUAGCUCCUUCCUACCCACCCAAUCCAUCCAGCAAUGUACAAGAAGAGGAUCCCAGGAGUGAUGAACUCACCCCAGUGCCUCUGGUCUCCACUCACUAUCAGGUGUGGCAGUCCAUCCGAUCCGCACAACAGUCCUUGUUUCGCAUAGUUGUCAAAUCUGCAAUGUCAAUAGGUGAGUGACUUUGUAAGUGAAAUAAAACAUGGACUCGAGUAUCAAGGAGUUGGAAUCAAAUGGAAUGUUCUAUUUUUCUAUGUUUACUUAGUCUAUGUCAAUGACUUAUGCAAGGAAAAGUUGAAAAUCUGUUACAAAAUAACUUGCCAUUCUUUCAUAAGCAAAUUUACUUCGUGCGCUCCUAUAGGGAGAAGGUGUUGAAGGUGGCCUCGUUUUCACACUUUUGGUUGGAUAAACGGAAGCCAUCAUCUAACACAAGAUCUAGCAACACUUAGUAUAGAAAAUUCACAAUCUUUCAUUGAUAUAAACAAUUGAAAGAGCAAUUACACGAGAACAUCAAAUUAGACAUUAGAGUCAAUGAGUUCUCCAUUCACUAACUCUCUGUAAGCAGCAACAGGCCAGAUGAAGCCUCUCCAGACGAGCCUGUUAGCCAAUGGAACAUCAAUGAUGAUCUCCUUCAUUGUUGGCUUCUUCUCAUCUCUUAUUGCAAUCAAGUAGCUCCUUCCUACCCACCCAAUCCAUCCAGCAAUGUACAAGAAGAGGAUCCCAGGAGUGAUGAACUCACCCCAGUGCCUCUGGUCUCCACUCACUAUCAGGUGUGGCAGUCCAUCCGAUCCGCACAACAGUCCUUGUUUCGCAUAGUUGUCAAAUCUGCAAUGUCAAUAGGUGAGUGACUUUGUAAGUGAAAUAAAACAUGGACUCGAGUA